AUUGAACGCUGGCGGCAGGCCUAACACAUGCAAGUCGAACGAGUGGCGGACGGGUGAGUAAUGUCUGGGAAACUGCCUGAUGGAGGGGGAAAACUACUGGAAACGGUAGCUAAUACCGCAUACCAUCGGAUGUGCCCAGAUGGGAUUAGCUAGUAGGUGGGGUAAAGGCUCACCUAGGCGACGAUCACUAGAUGGUCUGAGAGGAUGACCACGCACACUGGAACUGAGACACGGUCCAGAAUCCUACGGGAGGCAGCAGUGGGGAAUAUUGCACAAUGGGCGCAAUCCGAAUGCAGCCAUGCCGCGUGUAUGAAGAAGGCCUUCGGGUUGUAAAGUACUUUCAUCGGGGAGGCGUUACCCGCAGAAGAAGCACCGGCUAACUCCGUGCCAGCAGCCGCGGUAAUAC
rnacentral:rRNA from 1 species